CGCUACUCAUUUUGCUCGCACUAAGAUAUCUGUACACUGGAGACGGGGUGAUCAAAUUACUCUGAUCAGUGGCAUUUUGGAAGGGAGUCUUGCAAGAAAAAUGCGUGGGAUAUUAUACUGGUUAGCCAAUGAGUGGUCUUUAUACUGUCACGUGAUUUUAGAUUAUUUCUGUAAGGUGUGUCUGAAUUUGUGAAUAAAAUGCUUGACAUUCUCUCCGCUGCAAACAAAUGGACUUUCCUGUUGAGGAAGGACAACUAAUUUAGGACUGAACACCAAGAAUAAGGAGCCCGACAAAAUGAACUCUCAGAACCUCCUACAAUGUGUCAUCAUGUUUCUGUCCGCAUUGACGAUAUCGCUGGCACUUAAAGAGGCCAUGGCAACGAACGAUGAUGUCGACGCUCCACUUUCAGCAGACAAUAUUGGUUACAUUAUUGGUAAACUACAACGGCGCAGUGGACUUUCCCUUUUAGCGCCUCCUAGUGUAUAUGGUUCAAAGUUUGCCCCAUACUUACAAAAAACUCCCGACAAACGCGCAAGAUAUCUCAUUUGGAUGCCUGCCCAAGGUUAUGUGUCUGUACCACAGGAAGAUAUCAGUAAUGGAGGAGGAGGUUCGCCGUCUUCUUCAAAAGUGUUCAGAUAUGGCUAAAGUUUGGUUACCAUGACGCCCAAAACAGCUCUCUUGGUAUGACACAAGUAGCAACGAUGUGGUGCAUUACCAUUUAUAACAGUAAAAAGCAUUUAUGUGUAUGGCAACAACGGAGAAGGAGCAAAUGAUUACAAACUUAUUUGACCGAAACAUUUCUGUAAUGCUGAAAUCAAAUAAAAUGUCAUAUUUCAGGGGAAACUUGGAAAUUGUGGAAGUACUUGUUAUACAUGUUAAUACAA